rnacentral:rRNA from 1 species
AGAGUUUGAUCCUGGCUCAGAUUGAACGCUGGCGGCAUGCCUUACACAUGCAAGUCGAACGCGAAAGUAGGGGCAACCCUGCGAGUAGAGUGGCGAACGGGUGAGUAAUACAUCGGAACGUACCCAGGAGUGGGGGACAACCUCGAGAAAUCGAGGCUAAUACCGCAUACGUCCUGAGGGAGAAAGCGGGGGAUUCGCAAGGACCUCGCGCUCAUGGAGCGGCCGAUGUCGGAUUAGCUAGUUGGCGGGGUAAAGGCCCACCAAGGCUACGAUCCGUAGCUGGUUUGAGAGAACGACCAGCCACACUGGGACUGAGACACGGCCCAGACUCCUACGGGAGGCAGCAGUGGGGAAUUUUGGACAAUGGGGGAAACCCUGAUCCAGCCAUGCCGCGUGAGUGAAGAAGGC